rnacentral:rRNA from 1 species
AUUGAACGCUGGCGGCAGGCUUAACACAUGCAAGUCGAGCGGGGUGAUGGUGCUUGCACUAUCACUUAGCGGCGGACGGGUGAGUAAUGCUUAGGAAUCUGCCUAUUAGUGGAGGACAACAUCUCGAAAGGGACGCUAAUACCGCAUACGUCCUACGGGAGAAAGCAGGGGAUCACUUGUGACCUUGCGCUAAUAGAUGAGCCUAAGUCGGAUUAGCUAGUUGGUGGGGUAAAGGCCUACCAAGGCGGCGAUCUGUAGCGGGUCUGAGAGGAUGAUCCGCCACACUGGGACUGAGACACGGCCCAGACUCCUACGGGAGGCAGCAGUGGGGAAUAUUGGACAAUGGGGGGAACCCUGAUCCAGCCAUGCCGCGUGUGUGAAGAAGGCCUUAUGGUUGUAAAGCACUUUAAGCGAGGAGGAGGCUCUUUUGGUUAAUACCCAAGAUGAGUGGACGUUACUCGCAGAAUAAGCACCGGCUAACUCUGUGCCAGCCGCCGCCGUAA